CCCGGCAAUCUCGACCCAAACCAGCGGGUUACCCACAAAUUUGCGAAUAUGGGUACCAAUUUUUCCAACCCAAAAAAUUAUGGAUAAAACGGAUGGAUACCCAUUAAGCAGUGGGCAUUUUGGGUAACCCGCGAGUACCCACGGAUAGCCGCACAUAUAUUUUUUAGUUAUAAAAUAUUUUUUUAAUUAAUAUAUAUUUUUUAUUUACUCAUCCUAAGAAUUCUAAUCUAAUUUCUUAUUGCGUGUCUUGUAUAUUAUAAAAUAUUUUUGCUUUAAGACUUUAAAUAUUUUUAUUAUAUGUUAUGGUAUUUUAAACAAGGCCAAUUUGCAUAAAAAAUUCACUUAUUUUGGGCUUUUGCAAAACCGGGCCACCUUUUUCGUUUUUGCAAAUUCGGUCCGCUUUUUCAGCAAACUGACCAAAAUACCCUUAUUAUUUUUUCUCUUUCCUCUUUCUCUCUUCUCUUCGUUCUCUCGUUCUUUUUUUUUUCGCCGAAAAAAAAAGCGACGGCCGGAGCACUGCCAGGCGGGCUCUUCUUCUUCUUCUUCUUUCUGCAGGAGCAAUUUUUUUUUCUCUUUUUCUUUUUCUUCUUCUUCUUCCACCUGCUG
rnacentral:lncRNA from 1 species